AACGAACGCUGGCGGCAGGCCUAACACAUGCAAGUCGAACGCUCCGCAAGGGGAGUGGCAGACGGGUGAGUAACGCGUGGGAAACUACCCAGUUGUACGGAAUAACCUAGGGAAACCUGGACUAAUACCGUAUACGCCCGCAAGGGGAAAGAUUUAUCGCAAUUGGAGGUGCCCGCGUCGGAUUAGCUAGUUGGUGGGGUAAUGGCUCACCAAGGCAACGAUCCGUAGCUGGUCUAAGAGGAUGAUCAGCCACACUGGGACUGAGACACGGCCCAGACUCCUACGGGAGGCAGCAGUGGGGAAUAUUGGACAAUGGGCGAAAGCCUGAUCCAGCAAUACCGCGUGAGUGAUGAAGGUCUUCGGAUUGUAAAGCUCUUUUAGUGGGGAAGAUAAUGACGGUACCCACAGAAAAAGCAUCGGCAAACUUCGUGCCAGCAGCCGCCGUAA
rnacentral:rRNA from 1 species